rnacentral:rRNA from 1 species
CCUACGGGAGGCAGCAGUGGGGAAUAUUGGGCAAUGGAGGAAACUCUGAUCCAGCAACGCCGCGUGAAUGAUGAAGGUCUUCGGAUUGUAAAGUUCUUUCCUAAGGGAAGAAGAAAGUGAUGGUUCCUUAGGAAUCCGCCUCUGCCAACUACGCGCCAGCAGCCGUGGUAAUACGGAGGCGGCGAGCGUUAGGCGGAAUGACUGGGCGGAAAGGGGGCGUAGGUGGUUUGGCAAGUUAGUAGCGUAACUCCCAGGCUCAACCUUGGUACUGCAACUAAAACUGGUGGACUAGAGUGCAGGAGGGGAGAACGGAAUUCCUAGUGUAGCGGUGGAAUGCGUAGAGAUUAGGAAGAACACCAGUGGCGAAGGCGAGUUGCUGGACUGUAACUGACGCUGAGGCACGAAAGCGUGGGGAGCAAACAGGAUUAGAUACCCCUGUAGUC